rnacentral:rRNA from 1 species
GACGAACGCUGGCGGCGUGCCUAACACAUGCAAGUCGAACGAGGUCCAUCCUUCGGGAGAAGACCUAGUGGCGAACGGGUGAGUAACACGUGAAGAACCUGCCCCGAAGACCGGGAUAACCCUCCGAAAGGAGAGCUAAUACCGGAUACCCCCACCGAACCGCAUGGUUUGGUGAGGAAAUGGAUUCCGCUUCGGGAGGGCUUCGCGGCCUAUCAGCUAGUUGGUGGGGUAACGGCCCACCAAGGCAUCGACGGGUAGCUGGUCUGAGAGGACGAUCAGCCACACUGGGACUGAGACACGGCCCAGACUCCUACGGGAGGCAGCAGUGGGGAAUCUUGCGCAAUGGGCGAAAGCCUGACGCAGCAACGCCGCGUGGGGGAUGAAGGCUCUCGGGUUGUAAACCCCUUUCAGCAGGGACGAAUCAAGACGGUACCUGCAGAAGAAGCCCCCGGCUAACUACGUGCCAGCAGCCGCGGUAAU